UCCGGUAUAGUGUAGGGGUUAACAUAGCCCGCUUUCAUGAUUAAUAUCAGGUUUCCGGGCAGCCCCGGGUUCGAUUCCCGGUACCGGAA